rnacentral:rRNA from 1 species
AGAUUGAACGCUGGCGGCAUGCUUUACACAUGCAAGUCGAACGGUAACAGGCCGCAAGGUGCUGACGAGUGGCGAACGGGUGAGUAAUGCAUCGGAACGUGCCCAGUCGUGGGGGAUAACGCAGCGAAAGCUGUGCUAAUACCGCAUACGAUCUAUGGAUGAAAGCGGGGGACCGAAAGGCCUCGCGCGAUUGGAGCGGCCGAUGUCAGAUUAGCUAGUUGGUGGGGUAAAGGCCCACCAAGGCGACGAUCUGUAGCUGGUCUGAGAGGACGACCAGCCACACUGGAACUGAGACACGGUCCAGACUCCUACGGGAGGCAGCAGUGGGGAAUUUUGGACAAUGGGCGCAAGCCUGAUCCAGCAAUGCCGCGUGCAGGAAGAAGGCCUUGGUUGUAACUGCGUUUGUACGGAACGAAACGGUCUAGGUUAACGUACCUCGGCGUAAUGACGUACCGUAAGAAGUAAGACACCGGACUAACGUACGUAGCC